rnacentral:rRNA from 1 species
UACGAAGGGGGCUAGCGUUGUUCGGAUUUACUGGGCGUAAAGCGCACGUAGGCGGAUCGAUCAGUCAGGGGUGAAAUCCCAGAGCUCAACUCUGGAACUGCCUUUGAUACUGUCGAUCUGGAGUAUGGAAGAGGUGAGUGGAAUUCCGAGUGUAGAGGUGAAAUGCGUAGAUAUCGAGAGGAACACCUGCGGCGAAGGCGGGUUGCUGGGCUGACACUGACGCUGAAGCGCGAAAGCUAGGGGAGCGAACGGG